rnacentral:rRNA from 1 species
AGGAUGAACGCUGGCGGCGUGCCUAAUACAUGCAAGUCGAGCGGUAAGGCCCCUUCGGGGGUACACGAGCGGCGGACGGCUGAGUAACACGUAGGAACGUACCCCAAAGUGAGGCAUAAGCACCAGAAAUGGUGUCUAAUACCGCAUGUGAUCUUCGGAUUAAAGCUUCGGCGCUUUGGGAACGGCCUGCGCAUGAUUAGCUUGUUGGUGAGGUAAUAGCUCACCAAGGCGACGAUCAUUAGCUGGUCUGAGAGGAUGACCAGCCAGACUGGGACUGAGAACGGCCCAGACUCCUACGGGAGGCAGCAGUAGGGAAUUUUCCACAAUGGGCGAAAGCCUGAUGGAGCAACGCCGCGUGCAGGAUGAAUGCCUUCGGGUUGUAAACUGCUUUAUAUGUGAGAUUAUGACGGUAGCAUAUAGAAUAAGGAUCGGCUAACUCCGUGCCAGCGAGCCGCGGU